CGCCGGGUAAUUCCAGCUCCAAUAGCGUAUAUUAAAGUUGUUGCAGUUAAAAAGCUCGUAGUUGAAUUUCGGGAUCAAUUUAUUGGUCGUGCUAUUGUACGUACUGGUAUUAUUGAUUUCUACCUUCUGACGAACCAUGAUGUCAUUAAUUUGGUGUCUUGGGGAAUCAGGACUGUUACUUUGAAAAAAUUAGAGUGUUUAAAGCAGGCUCACGCUUGAAUACAUUAGCAUGGAAUAACGAAAUAGGACGUUUGAUUCUAUUUUGUUGGUUUCUAGGAUCGACGUAAUGAUUAAUAGGGAUAGUUGGGGGCAUUAGUAUUCAAUUGUCAGAGGUGAAAUUCUUGGAUUUAUUGAAGACUAACUACUGCGAAAGCAUUUGCCAAGGAUGUUUUCAUUAAUCAAGAACGAAAGUUAGGGGAUCGAAGACGAUCAGAUACCGUCGUAGUCUUAACCAUAAACUAUGCCGACUAGGGAUCGGAUGAUGUUAAUUUUUUAAUGACUCAUUCGGCGCCUUACG
rnacentral:misc_RNA from 1 species